rnacentral:rRNA from 1 species
UACGAAGGGGGCUAGCGUUGUUCGGAAUCACUGGGCGUAAAGGGCGCGUAGGCGGCUUUAUAAGUCGGGGGUGAAAGCCUGUGGCUCAACCACAGAAUUGCCUUCGAUACUGUAGAGCUUGAGACCGGAAGAGGUUAGUGGAACUGCGAGUGUAGAGGUGAAAUUCGUAGAUAUUCGCAAGAACACCAGUGGCGAAGGCGGCUGACUGGUCCGGUUCUGACGCUGAGGCGCGAAAGCGUGGGGAGCAAACA